rnacentral:sRNA from 1 species
ACUGAAAAGUCGUCCUUUUCUUUAUGGUGGCUUGCGGACAGUCUUUUUUUACGGAUAGAUUUCGUAAGUCAGCGCGCAGCGGCGUCUCCAAUUGAUCCAAAUUAUUCAGGAGGUACUUGAAAAUGAACACAGGUGUAGUUAAGUGGUUUAAUUCCAGCAAAGGCUAUGGCUUCAUCACCAACGAUGCAAACGGCGAGGACGUAUUCGUACACUUCUCCGCUAUCCAGGUAGAUGGCUUCAAAACUCUGGAAGAAGGCCAGAAGGUAACUUUCGAUGUAGAAAGCGAUCCUAAGGAUUCCAGAAAGCUGAGAGCGGUUAACGUUCACAUCGCAUAAGGAUGACUAAAAGAGCCCCGCAUAUGCGGGGCUUUUUUUA